AACGAACGCUGGCGGCAUGCCUAACACAUGCAAGUCGAACGAGACCUUCGGGUCUAGUGGCGCACGGGUGCGUAACGCGUGGGAACCUGCCUUUAGGUUCGGAAUAACUCAGAGAAAUUCGAGCUAAUACCGGAUGAUGUCUUCGGACCAAAGAUUUAUCGCCUUUAGAUGGGCCCGCGUUGGAUUAGCUAGUUGGUGGGGUAAAGGCCUACCAAGGCGACGAUCCAUAGCUGGUCUGAGAGGAUGAUCAGCCACACUGGGACUGAGACACGGCCCAGACUCCUACGGGAGGCAGCAGUGGGGAAUAUUGGACAAUGGGCGAAAGCCUGAUCCAGCAAUGCCGCGUGAGUGAUGAAGGCCUUAGGGUUGUAAAGCUCUUUUACCCGAGAUGAUAAUGACAGUAUCGGGAGAAUAAGCUCCGGCUAACUCCGUG
rnacentral:rRNA from 1 species